rnacentral:rRNA from 1 species
UGUGUGUUAGUGGAAGCGUCUGGAAAGGCGUGCGAUACAGGGUGACAGCCCCGUACACAAAAAUGCACAUACUGUGAGCUCGAUGAGUAGGGCGGGACACGUGGUAUCCUGUCUGAAUAUGGGGGGACCAUCCUCCAAGGCUAAAUACUCCUGACUGACCGAUAGUGAACCAGUACCGUGAGGGAAAGGCGAAAAGAACCCCGGCGAGGGGAGUGAAAAAGAACCUGAAACCGUGUACGUACAAGCAGUGGGAGCCUCUUAAUGGGGUGACUGCGUACCUUUUGUAUAAUGGGUCAGCGACUUAUAUUCUGUAGCAAGGUUAACCGAAUAGGGGAGCCGAAGGGAAACCGAGUCUUAACUGGGCGUUAAGUUGCAGGGUAUAGACCCGAAACCCGGUGAUCUAGCCAUGGGCAGGUUGAAGGUUGGGUAACACUAACUGGAGGACCGAACCGACUAAUGUUGAAAAAUUAGCGGAUGACUUGUGGCUGGGGGUGAAAGGCCAAUCAAACCGGGAGAUAGCUGGUUCUCCCCGAAAGCUAUUUAGGUAGCGCCUCGUGAAUUCAUCUCCGGGGGUAGAGCACUGUUUCGGCAAGGGGGUCAUCCCGACUUACCAACCCGAUGCAAACUGCGAAUACCGGAGAAUGUUAUCACGGGAGACACACGGCGGGUGCUAACGUCCGUCGUGAAGAGGGAAACAACCCAGACCGCCAGCUAAGGUCCCAAAGUCAUGGUUAAGUGGGAAACGAUGUGGGAAGGCCCAGACAGCCAGGAUGUUGGCUUAGAAGCAGCCAUCAUUUAAAGAAAGCGUAAUAGCUCACUGGUCGAGUCGGCCUGCGCGGAAGAUGUAACGGGGCUAAACCAUGCACCGAAGCUGCGGCAGCGACACUAUGUGUUGUUGGGUAGGGGAGCGUUCUGUAAGCCUGUGAAGGUGUACUGUGAGGUAUGCUGGAGGUAUCAGAAGUGCGAAUGCUGACAUAAGUAACGAUAAAGCGGGUGAAAAGCCCGCUCGCCGGAAGACCAAGGGUUCCUGUCCAACGUUAAUCGGGGCAGGGUGAGUCGACCCCUAAGGCGAGGCCGAAAGGCGUAGUCGAUGGGAAACAGGUUAAUAUUCCUGUACUUGGUGUUACUGCGAAGGGGGGACGGAGAAGGCUAUGUUGGCCGGGCGACGGUUGUCCCGGUUUAAGCGUGUAGGCUGGUUUUCCAGGCAAAUCCGGAAAAUCAAGGCUGAGGCGUGAUGACGAGGCACUACGGUGCUGAAGCAACAAAUGCCCUGCUUCCAGGAAAAGCCUCUAAGCAUCAGGUAACAUCAAAUCGUACCCCAAACCGACACAGGUGGUCAGGUAGAGAAUACCAAGGCGCUUGAGAGAACUCGGGUGAAGGAACUAGGCAAAAUGGUGCCGUAACUUCGGGAGAAGGCACGCUGAUAUGUAGGUGAAGUCCCUCGCGGAUGGAGCUGAAAUCAGUCGAAGAUACCAGCUGGCUGCAACUGUUUAUUAAAAACACAGCACUGUGCAAACACGAAAGUGGACGUAUACGGUGUGACGCCUGCCCGGUGCCGGAAGGUUAAUUGAUGGGGUUAGCGGUAACGCGAAGCUCUUGAUCGAAGCCCCGGUAAACGGCGGCCGUAACUAUAACGGUCCUAAGGUAGCGAAAUUCCUUGUCGGGUAAGUUCCGACCUGCACGAAUGGCGUAAUGAUGGCCAGGCUGUCUCCACCCGAGACUCAGUGAAAUUGAACUCGCUGUGAAGAUGCAGUGUACCCGCGGCAAGACGGAAAGACCCCGUGAACCUUUACUAUAGCUUGACACUGAACAUUGAGCCUUGAUGUGUAGGAUAGGUGGGAGGCUUUGAAGUGUGGACGCCAGUCUGCAUGGAGCCGGCCUUGAAAUACCACCCUUUAAUGUUUGAUGUUCUAACGUUGGCCCCUGACCGGGGUUGCGGACAGUGUCUGGUGGGUAGUUUGACUGGGGCGGUCUCCUCCUAAAGAGUAACGGAGGAGCACGAAGGUUGGCUAAUCCUGGUCGGACAUCAGGAGGUUAGUGCAAUGGCAUAAGCCAGCUUGACUGCGAGCGUGACGGCGCGAGCAGGUGCGAAAGCAGGUCAUAGUGAUCCGGUGGUUCUGAAUGGAAGGGCCAUCGCUCAACGGAUAAAAGGUACUCCGGGGAUAACAGGCUGAUACCGCCCAAGAGUUCAUAUCGACGGCGGUGUUUGGCACCUCGAUGUCGGCUCAUCACAUCCUGGGGCUGAAGUAGGUCCCAAGGGUAUGGCUGUUCGCCAUUUAAAGUGGUACGCGAGCUGGGUUUAGAACGUCGUGAGACAGUUCGGUCCCUAUCUGCCGUGGGCGCUGGAGAACUGAGGGGGGCUGCUCCUAGUACGAGAGGACCGGAGUGGACGCAUCACUGGUGUUCGGGUUGUCAUGCCAAUGGCACUGCCCGGUAGCUAAAUGCGGAAGAGAUAAGUGCUGAAAGCAUCUAAGCACGAAACUUGCCCCGAGAUGAGUUCUCCCUGACUCCUUGAGAGUCCUGAAGGAACGUUGAAGACGACGACGUUGAUAGGCCGGGUGUGUAAGCGCAGCGAUGCGUUGAGCUAACCGGUACUAAUGAACCGUGAGG